rnacentral:lncRNA from 1 species
CAUAUGCGCUGUAUUUCAGCAUCAAAUUUCCUAUAUUUCUGUCUCAAGUUUAUGCUGUUUAGCAAAGAGCAAUCCAUUGGUUAUUUUCUAAUGAAAAUAUUAUAUCUCAGAGUUAAAACAAUGUAUACUCUCAAACAGCCUUUUGAUAAGAUACUAGCACCUGAAUUACAAGAAUAAGGACAAACUUCUCAAUAGCAUUAGUUUUUUCCUCCUUAUUUGCUUAUUUUCAUAAUGCAAUUACAUCAGCAUAAGCUAAAGUCCUGUCACCUUAAUUACCUGACUCUUUUAUGGCUAGUUACUUGUGAGAGGUUUAUGUCCACUCACUUCGAUAGGUGUGUACUUCAGACAGAAAUAUGGGAGUCUUUAGUGUACAGAGGACUGUUAACCAUGACACUGGCUGAAAUGACUGUGGAAUAGAGCAAAGAAGA